rnacentral:tRNA from 1 species
GGUGGGGUGCCCGAGCGGCCAAAGGGAGCAGACUGUAAAUCUGCCGCGCUUAGCGCUACGAAGGUUCGAAUCCUUCCCCCACCA